UUGUUUCUUAGUGUGCUGAUAGGAGCAUAAAAUGCGAUGUUCUUAAUAUGUUUUUAUCUCCAUUUAUACUUUGCUUAACCCUUAUUGUUGUAAUAUUGAGUCAUUUAGUCAAGUUAAGAGUUUCUGGUAGAGUCGGUUGUAUAUUGUGCUAAAACGAGCUGAAAACGCAGAAUUUGUCAAGAGUUUUAUUUAGAGUAGGAUUCCUUGUGCAACUAGGAAGCCUAGUUGGAUUAAAAGUCUUCAUUAUUUGACGAUUCUGUAAUAUUUGUGAUAACUACCUUGUCUUUAUUUUAUUUCUUCUUUCUUAUUGUCAGAAAUUAAAGAAGAGAUAAUGCAGCACGAAUUGAGGAUUAAACAAGGAGAUAAUUAGGAAGAGAAACAUGUAGAAAGCCCAAAAGAGGCCCAAGUCCAAGGAAGGAAGAAGAAGCAAAUUUGGAUUCCAACUCUAAAAGGGAUGAGAAAAGUCAAAAUUGUGGAGCUAGUCCCACAUCAUUAAUUGAGGAGGAAUUCAACUUGAACAAGUAAUCCUUGCUAUGAAGACUCUUGGAGGCUAAGCAAUGUAUCUGGACAUGAUUCAAUUUGAUGCAAAGAGCUAGCUCUCCAUUCUUUAGGCUCCCUCCUUAAUGGUUGUUGGAAGCUCAUGUUUGAAAUGGAAAAUGCUAAACUCAGCCAUAUAUUUUCGUGAAUCUAAUAUGAUUGUUGAUGUUUUAGAUAAGAGCAGUAUCUCCUAUGAUAUGGGAUUCAUAAGCUUGAACGACCCCCCNCCCNNNNNNNNNNNNNNNNNNNNNNNNNNNNNNNNNNNNNNNNNNNNNNNNNNNNCCCCCCCCCCCCCCCCUAACCUUCUCCCUUAGGCUUGGUCCUGGCCCAGUGCUGGCAGUUAAGCAUGUUAAAGUUUCGUUUAUGAUAUUCUUUGCAAUCUGGUUAUGUUAACUCUUUUAUUAGUAAUGCUAUGUUUGUGUUUGAAUAGACGUUAAAAUGCAUGUUAACGGUAUGCCAUGAUUUAGUGCUAUGCCGAUGUGGUAAGCAUUGAUCUGUAGUGGUGGAAACUAUGGUGAGUAGUUGAGAACGUAGGUUGCAUAGCAAUAAGUGGGAUUUCAUCACCGAGUUAUGUUCAAUCUCUAUUCUUUAGAACUUAAUGAUUCAUGUUUAGAGUAGACAGAUGCUUGUAGAAUUGAUAGCAGCCUAUGCAUGAAAUAAUCUUUGAUUGCGUGAUGUACGGAUUAAAGAUGAUAAGCUAAGAAGAAUCUAUGGGUGCAUAGCUGGAUCAGUAUGUCACUCGAGAUUGUUGCUAGUAGUUGAGUUGAUAUAAUUCAGACUGUUUAGGAUUGAAAUGUCUCUUUAAUUGUGGUUAGAAUUUGAGUCUCUCUCUUUAUUGAUGUGUUGAAUGAAUUGAUCACUUGUAUAUAUUAGUUUAGACUCUACCUUUAUCUUUUCGUAGGAAAGUUAAACUCUGAAAACCCUUUUUACCUUGUAUCAUAUGUAUAUUUGUAAAUGAAUACUUGUAUAUAUUGUUAGCACUAACUUUUUUACAGGAUUAUUACAUGAGCACCCUUAGUCCCCGGAUUGAUCGAACCUUAUUUGCCUUAUACUACGAUUGUCAAAAAGCGUUCUUAAUUGUCGUAUGCCCGGUAACGAGCACGUCAACAGUUAAAGUAAAUGACGUGCCCGUUAACGGGCGUGCGACAAUUAAGAACCCUUUUUGACAAUCGUAGUAUAAGGCAAAUAAGGUUCGAUCAAUCCGGGGACUAAGGGUGCUCUUGUAACAAUGGUCAUGUAAAAAGUCAGGAGUUAUCAAUACAGAUAUUUACAAGUAUUCAUUUACAAAUAUACAUAUGGUACAAGGUAAGCAGGGGGUUUUUGAGGGUUUGUUCAAACAUUCCUACGAAAAAGAUAAAGGCAGAACCUAAAUAUACAGGUGAUCAUCUUCAACACACAUCAACCAGAGAUUUCAUAAUGAAUCAAACAAGUAUCAACAUACCUCAAACAUAUAUUCAAGUUCAUCGCCAAUUAAUAUCAAAAACAAACUCGAAACACAAGCCUCAACGGUCAUGCAUUCCUUUAAUUCUACUUACUUUAUCUCCUAAGCACAGAGAAGUCUAGAACCUAGGAUAUUUCAUGCAAAGGCUGCGAUCGAUACUCUGUGUCACUCAGAGUACCCGUCUACACUAAACAUGAAUCAUUAAGUGUUAUAGAAUUCUGAAUUUGAACAUGCUCAAGUUUACAGGAAGCUGCUUAACCUGCAAACAUGUAAUACAUAGUCUCAGCUAUUAUUACACAACCUUCACUAUUGGAGAUCUACACUUACUUGAAGAAGCUUAGUAUAGAUCAUAGCAACACUAACUUGCAGAAUAGAGUUUUAGUUCAAACAAAACUAUGCAUUUAAUGAAAUCAACAAGGCAUAAAACGGAUCACAUGCUAUCAUAGACAAGUUGAAAUAUGCUUAAAUUUAUUCUGAAAUUAACCUAUUCAUGUUCUUAACAACCAGCCAAUUCCAACUUUGAAAUCUAAUAAAAGAAGACAAAUAACAAUAACAAGAAAGAAGAAACAAGACAUGAGUUACACUAUAAAUCUUCAAGGAAGCUUGAGAUGUUCAAAGGAACACACAGGCCUGAUGCUUCUCGGCAGCCUUCUGGAGAAGUCCUACAAAUGUGCCAGCUUGCAUUGCUUUUUUUCUGGAGAGAGGAGUUGAUAAGGAGAAGGAAGGCUAAUGUGUUUCACUAAUUUUUGUGUGAAGAAGAGAUGGGCUGAGAAGUACACAAGGCUGUGUUUAUAUAGAGAAAAUCUUGGUGAAACUUCUCUUCAAAAAUGAUGUGGGACUAGCUUCACAAGUUUUACUUUUCUCCUGCCCUUUUUAGACUUCAAAUCCAAAUUUACUUCUUCUUCUAAACUGAUGUGGGACUAGGAGAAAUGUUUGACUUUUCUCUUUCCUUUUUGGACUUGGGCUUUCUGCAUUUUUCUCUUCCAUCCUUGUACUACUUAGGCCUUCUUUUGUCAAUUAAGCUCUUUGUCCUCUACAAUCACAAAACAUGUUAUAAAUGGUAUUAUUAUGAGAAUAUCAUAGCUAAGUAGGGUAGGAAACACAUUAUAAACAUAGCACUUUGUGCUCAUAUCAGUAAAAAGGAAGCAAAAUACUUAUCAAAGUUAACAUUCAAGUGACUAUAAUACUCAAACUCGUACUCCAUCAGUCAAACUUGCAUUCAUUCUUCAGUUCAUCUCUUUACCUUAGGAUAAUAAACAAAACAGAUGGUGAAAUUAAUUUUGGUCUAAAGAAAGGAUUGUUGAUCUAAAAGUGAAAAUAAAAUUCAGUGUGAAAGACGAAUUCCUUUCCAGAUUUAUAGGAUCUAAACACGAUUGUCUUUCCACUAAGCUCCAGAGCUGUACAUUAAUCACCAAAAAGAAUUUUAAGCACAUUUAUUGAUAAGCUGAGCACACUUCUAGUCAAACCAAUAUCUCACCUCUUCAAUAUCUCCUCUGACAGAAACAGUCAACAUUGUUCAUUUCUUUAAUUAUUUAUGAAUCUCCUGUCCGUGGCCAAACUGGUCUAUUAAACCAAAAAAAAAAAUUAUUAAUGGGACAAAUUUUAACAAUUUCCUUUAUUCAAAUGCAAUUUCAUACUAGGCCAAAAGUAAUACCAGCUACAAAAAUACAUUGCCUAAAUACAGGGCCAAAAAUACAUGGCUAAAAUACUUAUAUACAUUACACAAUUAUACAUCAACUCAAGACUCUAUCUGCUCAUCUUUGUUCUUGUUCAAGAUGUAAGCUAGGUCUUCUUAAUUCUCCUGUCAAGAAUCCCCAGUAAAUCUCCAUAGUAAUACAUAUCAACAUAACAAGGAGACAUAACACACGCUGUAUUACAAAUCCGUAAUUGAAGUAUCAUAGUAAAAUUGAAUUUGAAAUGAUACUUACAAUUUACAGUAGACGAUUCCGGCUGCAAAAUUCCCAGAAGCCAUUGUUGCAAAUUCAGCGACCACAUAAGCCAAAUAUCUGGAACAAAGCCAUGAAAUCUCAAUCAUAAAUUACUGAUAAAGAGAGGAGAGAGAUUAAAUUCAAUCAGAUUAAAUUCUCAAACAUAAUAAAAAUAACUUCUUAAACUGCAACGAAUACCCAUCUCCAAUACAACUAAACUCCAGAACAAGAUCAACAACAAGCCAGGGGUCUUAUACCUUCAAACUCCAAAACUGGAACCCUAGAGCAGUUGCUCUCUUCUACCUCUGACGAGCUCCAAGUCAGUCUCCGAGUUCCUGAAGUCGAAAUCGAAAGCUCAUCAACAAAGGUCUCUCGAGUCUUGGAGGGAAAUCAACGCCGGCGUUGGGAAAAAAAAGGCUGAGGAGGUAAAUCAGAAAUAGGGAUUUGAUUAGAAUCGAAUUGAAAUUGUGAAUUAGGUAUUCUAGAAGGCAGAGGAGAUUCAGGGAGUUGAAGGAUUACCACAUGCAAGCUGAAUCGUGGCUGGAAAACGGAGGAACACGCUGGUAAAUACUGUCGUCCUCCUCGGGUUCUCCUCCAUCGAUCUCAUCCUAGAGUGAUUGUAUGUGGGAUUCGGGGCUCGUAAUAGGAAGGUGGUGACGAGGAGGUACUGAUGUGGGUGGUCCGGUGAUCCUCCCCCACUCUCUCUCUUCACUCAUCUAGAUUUAGAUCUAGAAUAUGAAAUCGGAAGACGAAAGUGAUAUGAGCACAAAGUGCUAUGUUUAUAAUGUGUUUCCUUCCCUAUUUGGCCAUGUUAUUUCCUUAACAAUACCAUUUCUGACAUGUUUUAUAAAGGACAUGAGAGCAUAAAUCAAGAAAAGAAGACUAAAUUAUGGAAAUAAGAGAAAAAUGCAGAAAGCCCAAGUAGUACAAGGAUGGAAUAGAAAAAUGCAGAAAGCCUUUGGCCCAAGUCCAAAAAGGAAGGAGAAAAGUCAAACAUUUCUCCUAGUCCCACAUCAGUUUGGAAGAAGAAAUAAAUUUGAAUUUGAAGUCUAUAAACGACGAGAGAAAAGUCAAACUUGUGGAGCUAGUCCCACAUUAUUUUUGAAGAGAAGUUUCACCAAGAUUUUCUCUAUAUAAACAUAGCCUUGUGUACUUCUCAAAUCAUCAUUCAUUCAUACAAAAGUCAGGGAAACACAUAGCUCUACUGAGUAGCCUCUCUCUCUUCUUUGCUGAGUUUCUUCCUCCCUUGCUGAUACGAGCACAAAGUGCUAUGUUUAUAAUGUGUUUCAUGUCCUGUUUAGCUAUGUUAUUCUUGUAAUAAUGCCAGUUCUAACAUGCCUUGUGAGUCUGAAGGCAAAAGAGCAGAAAAGCAGAAAAGGAAGCUAAAACCGGCAAUUUAAGAGAAAUCCUAAUCAGAGGAGGAUUCUCAGUGCUGCAAGAAGUCUCAUUAAGUCGCAAAAUCUGAGGAUAAGUCGUUUAGGAAACUUUCCUGUUUUGAAAAGGGAAACUUACCUAUUUCAUUUUAAGAAACUUUCUUAUUUUGAUUUGGGAAACUUACUACUUUUGAAUCUUUCCUAUUCUGACUUUCCUAAAAUAUUUAGGAAACUUUCUUUUCUGAUGAGACAGGGAAAUCAUUUGAAGUCAGGAAACCUAAUCCAACUUGGAAUAGGAAGUCUUGGAACGUGUAUAAAAGAGGAAGGACGAAUUCUGCAGUAAUCAAGGGAUUUAUGUGUGCUAAUAUAAUCAGAAAUGAAUCUUUCCUUUAAUUUCGUCAUUUGAAUUCUGUUAUUCCCUACCAUAUUUAUCUGACUUUAUUUCUCUUUCAGGAACCCUAAUUGCGCACCAGGAAAGGAAGGAAAAUCAAGGAUUUUCGUCAAAGGUCUGAUUGAAGGCAGAAGAAGGAAGGUUUUCACUGCUGUGAUUUCUUUUGGAGAGCAAGAAACGUACCUGGCCUCUAUUCAAGCCUCAUGCAAUGAAUUACUGCAAAAGACAUUCCAGAGAAUUCUAGGGAGUUCUAAAUUAAGAUUUAAAGCAAUAAUUCUGCACCGUUGGAUCAGAAAUUAAUCAAGGGCUAGGAGGAUAGCUAGGGUUCGGCCAGACCAGUAUAUAAAGGAGCAAAGGAGCAAAGGAGCAACGUUUUGGGCAUCACUUUUCACGCAUAGACUUCUGCCCUAACAUCAUAAUAGCCUUCUCUCCGUUGUUUUCGUCCAAGACAGCAGAGCCUCCUUCCAUUGAAGCUUGCUCUACCUUGGUGUUCUGCAGGAAGUCACUUCAGAAUAAAAAGUGUAACAAUGCCUCAAUCGAUUUCUCUCUGUUCUGUAGUAUUUUCUUUUGUUAGAUUUUUAGAACUCCUGCAUUUUGGAUUGAGAUUGAUGUUGAGAAUAUGGUUAUAUUAAUUUUCAGAUUUAUAAAGUUAUGUUCUUAAGUUGUUUAUGAGAUUUGCAUAAUUUAUCUUCAUGUCAUUCUUGUUGUUGAAAACUUGUGAUCUGGUUAUUUAAAUUACUAACUUCUGCAGGGUUGGUAGUGCCAUUGAUCUGUGUGAAACCGCUGAGGCAAACAUAGAUUGAAUAAGUGGCGAAAGCUUAUAUUCAUGGGAAUGGGUCGGAUUUGAUCAUGAGUUGCAUGUAGACUUGUUUAAGCGCUGAGAUAAACAUGUUUAUGUGUUUGAAUUCUUCUUUGAUCUUAAUGCUUCAUGUUAUAUGCUGUAUGGUUGCGCUGAGUAUUAACAUGACAUAUUGCAUGGAAUUUUCUGUGUUAAACCGCUAAGGCAAACAUAGGAUACAUAAGAAGAUUAUUAUAGGUUACAUGACCGCUGAGGCGUGUAAUUCUGAGUUCGUUUCAUAAUACUUGAUUGGCAUGAUAUUAAGUUGUGUAGAUUGAAACAACCUGUUUGCAUGAUUCUAUAUGUCUGUGCGUGUUUGAAGUCGAUCACUUGUACAUAUUUUAUUUUCUGUUUAGUAGGAACGUAGAACAAACCUUCAAAACCCCCCCCCUUUUAUCUAUUGUACCAUGUGUAUUUUUGUAACUGAAUACUUGUAAAUACUUAUAGUUACUGAUUCAUUAGUGUAACCGUGACUGCAGGAGCGCCCUUUAAGUCCCCGGAUUGAUCGAACCCUAUUUGCCAAUACUACAUUCUGAUAAGAAAAGGGUUUUUAAGUUACGCGCCCGGUAACGAGCACGUCACUUGCCAAAGCCUUGUCGGAUGUUCCACAAGAGCAGCAACUUUGGAGCCUUGAAGCCGGAGCACUUUUUAGAUGUCUACAAGCUUCUUGAAGACUGAUAAAGUGUAACCCUACCUCUGUUUUGUUUAGUUUUCCUUUACAAUUUCAGAAACAUGUUUUCGGUUUUCAAAUAUUGGAUUUGGAUGUUGUUUCGAUGGUUAUGUUGUUAGUAAAUUCUGAAUUUUAGUAAAGCAUGUUAAAGUUUCGUUAAUGAUAUUUUUAGCAAUAUGAUCUUGUCAAUUCAUUGGUUAGAAAGUAUGUGUUGUUGUUUGAUAUCCCUAUGUUAGAAUGAAUGCUAACUAAUGCCAUGAUUUAUGCUAAGCCUCGUAGGUAACUGUAGAUCUCCAAUGGUGUCACAGAUAUAGCUGAAUACAUAUACUAUGCAAUUCCAUGUUGUGACGUUCAUAAUAUAAUUGUGUUCAAUCUCUUUCUAUAGAUCUUAAGGACUCAUGUUAAGUGUAGACAUACUUAUAGUAUUGAUAGCAGUCUUCCAUGAGAUGUCCUAGCUCUAGACGUUCUGUGCUAGAGACAAGUAAGUAGAACUAUAAAAUGCAUGACCUCAUAGGCUUGUGUUUUGAGAUUGUUUCUAGUUCUCUGAAUUGGUAUGUUAUUGGAUUGCUAAGGUUGAAACGUGAACUUUGAUGUGUGGUAUGAAUAUGAGUUUCUCUCUGAUGGAUGUGUUGAAUGAAUUGAUCAUUUGUAUAUAUUAUACUUUAUUUUCUGUUUUUAGGAAUGUUAGACAAAAUCACUCUCAACCCCCCUUUUUUACCUUGUAUCAUAUGUAUAUUUGUAACUAAAGACUUGUAUAUAAAUGUAUUGAUAACUACUGACUUUUUACAUGACCAGUGUUACAAGAGUACCCUUAGUCCCCGGAUUGAUCGAACCUUAUUUGCCUUAUACUACGAUUGUCAAAAAGGGUUCUUAAUUGUCGCAUGCCCGGUAAUGGGCACGUCAAAGAAUGAGUGCAUACCUUGUGAGAUUGAAUCAUACUUGUCUGAAAUAUGCUGAGCUUAAAUAUCACCAUUGUUCUAUCAGGUCCUACGUGUAAAUAUGUGAUCUGUGCAUGGCAAUUAGCUUCUGAAAUUUCAUGGAAUGAUUCUUGGUUGAGUGCUAAUUUUGAUGCCAUGAGAAUAGAGAUUCUGAGACAAUAGUUAUGGGCAUCAGAGUCUGUUUGUUUUUUAUGUUAGUGUGUUUGUUAGAUUGGUUUUGCUAUGGGACUAGCAAAAGCUAAGUGUGGGGGAAUUUGAUAUGAGCACAAAGUGCUAUGUUUAUAAUGUGUUUCCUACCCUAUUUGGCCAUGUUAUUUCCUUAACAAUACCAUUUCUGAUAUGUUUUGUGAAUGUAAAGGACAUGAGAGCAUAAAUCAAGAAAAGAAGACUAAAUCAUGGAAAUAAGAGAAAAAUGCAGAAAGCCCAAAAGAAGGCCCAAGUAGUACAAGGAUGGAAGAGAAAAAUGCAGAAAGCCCAAGUCCAAAAAGGAAGGAGAAAAGUCAAACAUUUCUCCUAGUCCCACAUCAGUUUGGAAGAAGAAGUAAAUUUAGAUUUGAAGUCUAAAAAGGGCAGGAGAAAAGUCAAACUUGUGGAGCUAGUCCCACAUCAUUUUUGAGGAAAAGUUCCACCAAGAUUUUCUCUAUAUAAAGACAGCCUUGGGUACUUCUUAGGGCAUCUCUUCUUCACACAAAAAUCAGUGAAACACAUUAGCCUUCCUUCUCCUUAUCAACUCCUCUCUCCAGAAAAGAACCAAUGCAAGCUGGCACCUUUGUAGGACUUCUCCAGAAGGCUGUCGAAAAUCAUCAGGCCUGUGUGUUCCUUUGAACAUCUCAAGCUUCCUUGAAGAUUUAUAAAGUGUAACUCAUGUCUUGUUUCUUGUUUCUUGUUAUUGUUCUUUGUUUUCUUUUAUUAGAUUUCAAAGUUGGAAUUGGCUGGUUGUUAAGAACAUGAAUGGGUUAAUUUUCAGAAUAAAUUCAAGCAUAUUUCAACUUGUCUAUGAUAGCAUGUGAUUCGUUUUAUGCCUUGUUGAUUUCAUUAAAUGCUUAGUUUUGUUUGAACUAAAACUCUAAUCUGCAGGUUAGUGUUGCUAUGAUCUAUACUACUUACUUCUUCAAGUAAGUAGUAAGCUAUGAUCUAUACUAAGCUUCUUCAAGUAGUGAAGGUUGUGUAAUAAUAGCUGAAACUAUGUGUUACAUGUUUGCAGGUUAAGCAGCUUCCUGUAAACUUGGGCAUGUUCAAAUUCAGAAUUCUAUAACAUUUAAUGAUUCAUGUUUAGUGUAGACCGGUACUCUGAGUGACACAGAGUAUCGAUCGCAGCCUUUGCAUGAAAUAUCCUAGGUUCUAGACUUGCCUGUGCUUAGGAGAUAAAGUAAGUAGAAUUAAAGGAAUGCAUGACCGCUGAGGCUUGUGUUUCGAGUUUGUUUUUGAUAUCACUUGGAGACGAACUUGCAUAUAUGUUUGAGGCAUGUUGAUACUUGUUUGAUUCAUUCUGAAAUCUCUGGUUGAUGUGUGCUGAAGAUGAUUACCUGUAUAUAUUAGUUUAUGUUUUGCCUUUAUCUUUUUCGUAGGAACAUUAGAACAAACCUCAAAAACCCCCCAUGUUUAUCUUGUACCAUAUGUAUAUUUGUAAAUGAAUUCUUGUAUAUAUUUUUAUUGAUAACCACUGACUUUUUACAUGACCAUUGUUACAGGAGCACCCUUAGUCCCCGGAUUGAUCGAACCUUAUUUGCCUUAUACUACGAUUGUUAAAAAGGGUUCUUAAUUGUUGCACACCCGGUAACGGGCACGACCGUUAUGAUUUAAGUUGUUAGGUGGGGGAAUUCUUUCUCAAAAAAAAAAAAGAACAGGUUUCAUUUGGGCACGGACGUGUUCUCUUUAACUUAUUUUAAUCUCAUUUGGACAUCGUUUGAGCAUGGCCACUCACUUUUUAUUGUAUAAGGAUGUGAAACAAAAUAUGUGUACCUUGUUAGGGACGGAGACUGAAUUGUCCGUGGCUAUAGAGUUGGUACAUAUUUGUCACAGAUGACAAUUUGACUGUCCCACAUAUCUAAGAAUACCACGAAAUAAACUCAUCCCUACCUAUUUAAAAUGAGAUGGGGACGGAUCUAAAUUUGUUUGUGCCUAUUUAUUACAUAGGUAUUAUUUUGGGGACGGAUUAAAACUUGUUCAUGCCUAAAUUAUCCCCCUUUUACCCAAAUGAGGACGGAUCUGAAACUUGUCUGUGCCCAAUCAAAAUAUUUCCCAUGCUAUAUUGACUUUGACAUCCUUUCAGGGAAGUGAUAUGUUUAUAAUGUGUUUCCUGCCCCAUUUAGCUAUGUUAUUCUUGUAAUAAUACCAUUUCUAAUAUGUUUUGUGAGUGUGAAGGCAAAAGAGCAGAAAAGCAAAAAAGGAAGCUAAUUCGUCAAUUUAAGAAGAAUCCUAUUAAAACUAGGAAACAAGUCCGACUCAAGCAAGGAAUCUCACUAAGUUGCAAAAAUGAGUGAAUAAAAGGAUAAGUCGUUUAGGAAACUUUCUUGUUUCAAAUGGAAAACUUGCUUAUUUCAUUUUAAGAAACUUUCUUAUUUUGAUUUAGGAAACUUACUAUAUGUGAAACUUUCCUAUUCUGACUUUCCUUAAUUGUUUUGAGAAACCUUCUAUUCUUGUGCGACAAGAUUGAGUAAAAGAAGGAAGGGAAUUAAAGAGUUGACUUGCUGGAUGCGAUAGGAGCAAAGAAGGAAACCAGAAAUCUCUAAAGAUUUCUGGCCAAAAUUUAGGAGCCCAAACAAGGACUUAUUGGCUGCAAAUCGUUGAUGGGAAUCUUCCUCAAAUCAUGGAAUACUUAAUUGAUUCAAAAUCAGAAAAUAAGGAAGUUAUCUGUUAUUCCUUUUAUUAAGAUUCCUAAUUGGUCCAUAAUUAUGUCAUAAUCUGAUUUCCAUAAAUUGCAGGAUUAACUGUGUGCAUCAGGAAAGGAAAAGAUCAAAAAUCUUCCUCGAGGAUAUGAUUGACGCAGAAUAAAAUAAGGAGGAGAUUUUCUUGCAGAUUAAGACAUACACCUGGUCACCAUUCAAGCUACAUUCGAUGGACUAAUGCACAAGACUUUUAUGGCAAGAUUUUGAGCAAUUAUCCCAGACCGUUGGAUCAGAAGUUGAUCAAGGGCUUGGAGAAGACCUAGGGCUGGGCGUGUCCACUAUAAAUAGAGGCUCUCUACUUCAUAAUAAUCAUCAUUCAUUCACAUAAAAAUCAGAGAGGUACGAGAGCAGCAGCAGACCUUCAUUUCCUCCUUUGCCGAGUUCAUCUUCUCUUGCCAGACCUUGAAGGACUUCUCCACGAAGGUAGCACAGUUUGAGAGAAGCAUUGAAGCAAAACAUCCUUUUGACAUCGACAAGCUUCCUUGGAAACUAAAAAAGUGUAAACAGUGCCCUUACUUUGUUUUGAUUUUCUUUACAAACUUGAAAGCAUGUUUCGAAUGUUUAACUCUGGAUUUGUAAGCAUGGUUUGCUUGUUCUUGUAUUCAAUAUAUUCAGAAUUUUAGUAAAGCAUUUUGGAGUUUCUUUCAUGAUAUCUUCGCAAUCUGAUCUUGUCAAUUCAUAGGUUAGAAAGUAUGUGUUGUUGUUUGAUAUACCUAUGUUAGAAUACAUGCUAACUAAUGCCAUGAUUUAUGCUAAGCCUCGUAGGUGUAGAUCUCCAGUGGUGGAAGCUUUGUCACAGAUAUAGGUGAAUGCGUAUACUAUGCAGUUUCCUGUUGUGACGUUCAUAAUAUAAUUGUAUUGAAUCUCGUUCCAUAGAUUCUAAUGACUCAUGUCAAGUGUAGACAGAUACGUUGAGUAUUGAUAGCAACCUUACAUGAGAUGUCCUAGUUCUAGACGUUCUGUGCUAGGGACAAGUAAGUAGAACUAUAAAAUGCAUGACCUCGUAGGCUUGUAUUUUGAGAUUGUUUCUAGUUCUUUGAAUUGGCAUGUUAUCGGAUUGCUGAGGUUGAAAUAUGAACUUUGUUGUGUGGUCAGAAUCUGAGUUUCUGUCUUAUGGAUAUGUUGAAUGAAUCGAUCACUUAUAUAUAUUAUACUUUAUUUUCUGUUUUAGUAGGAAUGUAGAACAACCCUUCCAACCCCCCCCCCCUUUUAUCUAUUGUACCAUGUGUAUAUUUGUAACUGAAUACUUGUAUUGAUAAUUACUAGCUAUUUUGACCAUUGUUCGCAAGAGAGCCCUUAGUCCCCGGCUAUAACGAUACCCCGCUUAUUUUAUACUACAAUGCUGGGUUUUUUUUAAUUGAGAACGUCCCGGUCACGGAGAGCGCAUCAGGACGGAUGAAAUUUUUAUGUCCCUAUUAGACAUAUAAGGCCACAGACAAGGAGGUCGUCCCUAAUUUUGCUAUCUAUAUUGAUCGAUUUGCUAGUAGUGUAUGUUUGAUUAACAGCAAGCAGCAUCAAAUUUGCACAAAUGAAAAUAAAGAAGCAGGCAAAGCCAGUUAGAUAAGCUAUAUAAACAUCAGUGCAGUAUACUCUAUAAGGCCGGUUAGGAUUUGGCCGGCGGAGUGAUGGAUCUGAACCAAAUCGGCGCAAGAGAGACACCGGUCGCCGCUGGAGAUGAAGGCCUAGUGAUGAAGGGAAUCAAAUCAAAGGCGUGGACCGGGUGUUGAUGGAGCCAUGGAGGUGAAUCGAACUAGAUCGAGCCCGAGAGAGAGAGAGAGAGAGAGAGAGAGAGAGAGAGAGAGAGAGAGAGAGAGAGAGAGAGAGAGAGAGAGAGAGAGAGANNNNNNNNNNNNNNNNNNNNGAGAGAGAGAGAGAAGAAUUCAGAAUGGAGACAAGGGCUAGGGUUAGUUUAAUUGAAUUGAGGGUAAGUUUCUUUUUACUUAGAUUCAUUGGAAUUGGCUCAUAUAUAAGAUUUUCAUUGGAGUGGGCAUUAAUCUUGUUGUUUUGCUGUUUUUUGUAAAUAUGUAUUUUCCCAAAAUAAUUGUUAUUCCUUAUUAGGAGAGACUAAUUUAAUGAUAAGUCGAAUUAAAAUAUCUAUUACACUGCAAUUAGAUCGAAGGUAGGUAUUUUCGAGUACGAGAUGUUACAUCUUGUUCUCAAAAUUUAAUUCCUGCAUAACAGAAAACAUAAAGUGUGUUGGAAAUCUAGAAACUUUUCUAUUUAUACCAAUUUUUAUUGUAACCCGAAAACUUUCGUUGAACAUAACUUCUUCAUAUGAUGUCUGUUUUACGCGUGUCACGUGUUCAUGAACUCAUAUCGCCGUGUUCUACAGUUUUGGUGAAGGAAGUUUUCCAAGAAACCCAAAGAAUAAAAAGUCAACUUUUGACCUAUCAAAAGAAACAUUUUCAAGUAAAUUAUCGUCCGAACACUUCCGCUCUUCUUUCGAACAUCGAAAACACACUAACUCCUAACUUAAUAAUUUCCAAAUAAUAUUAGAAAUUAAUAUCAAAUUUCUGAUGGUUAGUAUCAAUUUGUUUGGUAUUUAAGUUAUGCUGAGGGUUAGUAUCA
rnacentral:lncRNA from 1 species